UGCCUCAGUGGAUGAUUCUCGUCCCCUCAU
rnacentral:piRNA from 1 species